UACGUAGGGUGCGAGCGUUACUCGGAAUUACUGGGCGUAAAGCGUGCGCAGGCGGUUUUAUAAGCCAGAUGUGAAAGCCCCGGGCUCAACCUGGGAAUGGCAUUUGGGACUGUAAGGCUGGAGUAUGGCAGAGGAGACUAGAAUUCCUGGUGUAGCAGUGAAAUGCGUAGAUAUCAGGAGGAAUACCGAUGGCGAAGGCAGGUCUCUGGGCCAAUACUGACGCUCAUGCACGAAAGCGUGGGGAGCAAACAGG
rnacentral:rRNA from 1 species